AUCCAGCUGACGAGUUUCAAAUAGGAGGAAACGCGCGGCCUGCAU
rnacentral:hammerhead_ribozyme from 1 species